AAACAAAGUUCUAUAAAAUGAAGAACUGUUUUAAUUAUUAAGACGUUAGAAAGCAAGUAUAUCAACAUAUACUUAUACAUUAACUCGGGAGUAUAUAAUGGAAAACUCUUCCAUAUGUCUAAUUUUAGGGGGUGGGGGAAUUAUGAUUUAAACGGGGAUGCGCAGUGUUACACUUAGAGUUGUGAUGCGCUUUGAUUUUUGAAAAGUGAAGACGUUGAAGACCGACUUUGAAAGAUAUUGUGUGGAUAUUACGGAGUUAACAGAAGACUGAGAUGGAGGAACAUGAAGAACAGGGCAGCAGUCGUCAGGUGUAGGCAACUCAUUUAUAGACAGGACAGAGGACGCAGCUCAGAUGAAUCUCCGGAAAGAACUGAACAUCGCAGAGAAUGAGGAACUGCACGAAGGUUUUUAACGACGCCUCGCUUCGAUGUCCCGACAUAAACUUGGAAACCGACAUCAAGCACUAUGGCUGCUGUGGCACGGAAGCAGUGUGGUGUGUAGGUCUUAAUGCACUUUGACGACUUAUCGGCCAUACAUCCUAUGAAUGACCUUUUUGCUAAAGCCUAAUGUCAUCGUCUAGCAGUAGGUACAAUUCCGCAUCACCGAUGACCAGGGUGAAGUUGUAGCAGACGAAAUUUUAGACAUACAUUAGGCCUAGUAGGCUAGUAACUAAAGACAUUGUUUACAGAAAUGCUUUUAUCAAUUAUUGAUGAAAGUCCACUGCUUGGAAUACAAAUAAAACCGUAAAUACAU